rnacentral:misc_RNA from 1 species
GAUGAAGAACGUAGCGAAAUGCGAUACUUGGUGUGAAUUGCAGAAUCCCGUGAACCAUCGAGUCUUUGAACGCAAGUUGCGCCCGAAGCCAUUAGGCCGAGGGCACGCCUGCCUGGGCGUCACACGUCGUUGCCCCCCCAUCUACUCCUUCGGGAUUGCGGGGGGCGGAUGAUGGCCUCCCGUGCGCCUCGCCGCGCGGUCGGCAUAAAUGCCAAGUCCUCGGCGACGCACGCCACGACAAUCGGUGGUUGCGAAACCUCGGUUGCCCGUCGUGUGCGGUCGUCGCGCAUCGAGGGCUCGAAAAAAUUGCCGGGUUCCGGCUCGGCUUUCAACGCGACCCCAGGUCAGGCGGGGUUACCCGCUGAAUUUAAGCAUAUCAAUAAGCGGAGGA